AUGAAAAUUAUUAUUCGCUUUAAGUAUAGAAUUACACAAAUUAUGUAUUUUAUCUAAUGUGUUAGUAAGUGUACCUGAGGUGUUUGUUAGUGUGUGUCUUUGCCUUUAAAUUUCUAAGGGAGCUCACGCUGUUUAAUUUCCUGUUUUGCGCCCGCCUCUUCCCUUUCUGCACUGACUAUGCAUGGGAGAGAAAAGCUGUAAGGGCGAAGACACACUGUAAAAGCUGUGCUUUUUGAUUUAUUCUCAGUGAGUAAAGAGCCGUCACAACUGCA